rnacentral:rRNA from 1 species
UACGGAGGGUGCGAGCGUUAUCCGGAAUUACUGGGUUUAAAGGGUACGUAGGCGGCUAUGUAAGUCAGGAGUGAAAGUUUGCGGCUCAACCGUAAAAUUGCUUUUGAUACUGCAUGGCUGGAAUUAGGAUGAGGUCAGCGGAAUGUGGCAUGUAGCGGUGAAAUGCAUAGAUAUGCCAUAGAACACCAAUUGCGACGGCAGCUGGCUAGACCUGGAUUGACGCUGAGGCACGAAAGCGUGGGGAGCGAACAGG